GACGUAGGGCGCGAGCGUUGUCCGGAUUUAUUGGGCGUAAAGAGCUCGUAGGCGGUUUGUUGCGUCGGCUGUGAAAUCCCGAGGCUCAACCUCGGGUCUGCAGUCGAUACGAGCAAACUAGAGUGUUGCAGGGGAGACUGGAAUUCCUGGUGUAGCGGUGAAAUGCGCAGAUAUCAGGAGGAACACCGGUGGCGAAGGCGGGUCUCUGGGCAACAACUGACGCCGAGGAGCGAAAGCGUGGGGAGCGAACAGG
rnacentral:rRNA from 1 species